rnacentral:rRNA from 1 species
AGAACGAACGCUGGCGGCGUGGAUAAGACAUGCAAGUCGAACGGAGUAUUCUGGUAGCAAUAUCAGGAUGCUUAGUGGCAAACGGGUGCGUAACACGUAGGUUACAUUCCGGAAAGUGUGGGAUAGCCCAGGGAAACUUGGAUUAAUACCGCAUGUGAUCGCAGGAUCAAAGGUGGCAACACCGCUUUCCGAUUGGCCUGCGCCCUAUCAGCUAGUUGGUGAGGUAAUGGCUCACCAAGGCAACGACGGGUAGCUGGUCUGAGAGGACGACCAGCCACACUGGAACUGAGACACGGUCCAGACACCUACGGGUGGCAGCAGUCGAGAAUCUUUCACAAUGGGGGCAACCCUGAUGGAGCGACGCCGCGUGGAGGAUAAGGUCUUCGGAUUGUAAACUCCUGUCAUUGGGGAACAAGUCGCUUACGUUAACUGCGUGAGCGUUGAUAGUACCCGAAGAGGAAGAGACGGCUAACUCUGUGCCAGCAGCCGUA